GGGUGUCUUCAGGGAUGACAUCAUCCGUUCACCUCCUUGUCUUCAAGGACCACCUCUCGAUGCCACGCUGCUGCCAAGAGGACAGUAGGAGCUCUGACCCCUGGAUGGCACCGGCAUACCAAGCAGCCACUGGCAGAGACCCCCCCCCCCCCAGGGAUGAGGAUGACGAAGGAUGAAGAGGACCAGAACCGACCAGCCAGCUCUCCCUCUUGGCUGAAUGCUUAAACCGAUGCCCUACGCUCCAGGCAGCCCUUGUCCGCGGGGCUCUCCUUCAAGCAGCCAAGCUUCUCGAAAGGCCUGUCUACACUUGCUGUCUUCCUUCCUCAUCUCCAAUUUCCUCUUCAACCCACUGCUUCCUGACUUGUUCUGCUCCGUUGAACGACUCUAACUCAGGUCAGCCCUGUCCUCGGCACACUGGCCGUGACCUGGCUGGGUCGGCUGAAGAACCGGAUGGAAGAGGCAGAAAGAAGCCCCCAGAGGAGCGCCGCCCUGCACCACCCAGCCUUCCUUGCUGAUGGUCACCUGGCAUCUCAUGCCCAGCCCUGUGCCUCUUCACUUCUUCCUGCUUUGGGUUGGAAGACGCCAUCUGGAAUCCUCCGUGGAAGGAGAGACCUGGACGCACGACUUAGCACCCUCCAGCUUUCAAAUCGGCAGACUAGGAUGGAAGUGCCCUUGUGAGCUGGGGGGCCCUUCAAAGGGCCAAGGAAAAAACGCGGGCCGAGGGACCAGCCUCUCAAACGGGCUUCGAGCUCCAAUGACCUUCGCUCACCCCCUUGAAAUGUCUGGAAAACAGAAUGGGCAGAUUUUCUGUCUUCAAAGUUUCCGGCUAAACCUCUUCAAGUUCUUUAUUGUUUGGGACUGAGACACUCAGCAAUGGGUCCUGUGAUGUGUGAGCAGAUGUCCCGAGGCCUCAGAUGGAUGGGACGUUUUGGAUCAGGACUGGCGGAGAAUCCUCCCUCGGUUUUUCUUCAAUGGGGCAAUUAGAUUCCGUGAUCCGAGCAGCAGACUGGUCCCCACGCUCUUCUGGGGCUCCCCUUGUGCCCACCACAAACUAACCGCGGCUCAAAGGCCAUCAAGACCACUUGGGGAGGGUGGGUCCCUCCCUGGAAGGUAGGAGCCCGCCCUACCUUCCAGAACACGCUCUGCCCUCAGCAGGGCCUGCUUCUUCCCGCCGAGCCCUCUACUAUAGCACCGAGCGCUGUUUGCCUGCGUCAGAAUCAGUCACGCACACGUCUGUCCCCGCAGCGAGGCUUGGGAGGCCAGCAGUGACUUCCAGCAUCAGUUCAAUCCAUCCAUCCAUUCAUCCGUGCGUUUGGCCUCCAUUCUUGACCUGGUGCUUCGGCCUCUCCCUUCCCCGAAAGCGAACCUUUCCAUUUUGGGCGGGCUGUGUAGCGCCAUGGGCUGUGGUCAUGAAGCGAACGCCCGUAUUAGAGCUUUCUCCUCCGGGGUCACUGCUCUGAGCACGUCCCAGCUGGACUCAUCUGCCACUGUCACCCACACGGCUUCUGUCCCCAUGGCGCUUUCCCAGGCAUCCCCCACCGCGACGGAUCCAGGGCCGGGUCCGAGAGGGCCCUCCAGCCGUGAGCGGAGGUGUCCUCCCCAGGCCGCCCUGCCUGGUGCAUGGUCCCUGCCAUGAGCUUUGCCUUCAGCCUCUCUGCUUCCUCCACCAGAUGGCAGUGGUUGUAAUUCACCCCCUCAUUCCUUCAUCCCUUCAUUCCUUCACCACCGACCAACAUUUUUCUCAAAUCAGCUGGUGCUAUACUAGAGCUGGCUCCCAAGGACUCUUCCCGAUAUCUCCUUCUGGGGGAAAAGACGAGCAUGUCUCCAAGAGGCCGUGUUUGUGUGCCAGCAAAAGGCGCGACCCUUGGUCCGGCUCCCAACUUCCGGAGCCGAGUUCUGGUGGAAGUUUGAUUGCCUUCCCCGACUCUGUUCCUUACAAAACUAGGUUGAUUGGUAAUCAGCAAACUGUGUCCCUGAGUGUUCAGAAAUCAUAAUCUGUGUCCUCAAGAGGCCAGAGUGACGGCUGGGGGCUCUGGGAUGAACGGCCGCUUCUGGCCGUGAGCAGGCUUUUAAGUCAUUAGGACACCCUGGUCUUGCCACGGUGGUGAUCUAAAGAGCGGUUCCUGUCCCUUCGGAAAUUAGUUAAUGCUGGGCUCGAUUUAGAGAAAAUUGGGGGAGAUGAUUGCUCACGGAGGUGACAGGGAACAUGCCCUGUGCGGGGGUCUGUGCAGAAUUAUCCAUUGGCAGACCUGGGCAUCCAAGGCACGUGGCACUUUGCAAACCCCGGACGUGGCCCCAAGCAUUCACGUGGGUCGCGGGCCAGGCGGGACCCCCUAUAGCUCCCUGCUGCCCCUGUGGGACAAGGCAGGGGUCCUGGGGCCUCUGCUAGGAAUUCUGCAGUUUAUUCAUUGCACCGGAGGCGGGGGUAGUGGGCAAAGCCAGGACCCUGGAGCUGGACAAACGUGUGUGGUUUAAACUGACCUUGACAGCUUUGAGUCUGUCUUCUGGGGGGACAAUGGCACCCACCUCGCAGGGCUGUUGUGAGGACUUUUGUAACCAGGGCUUUGAACUGGGAUUCUGAAGGCGGUGCGCGUGCCCCCGGGGGGCUGUGGGCUGGGGGCUGGAAGGCGGGAGGGGCAGCCCGACUCAGCAGGUUAGAGGAAAUCACUUUGCCGAACAUGCAGGAGGCAUUGUGGAAUAGAGUGCUCAAUUUGUAGGACACGGUAAGCUCAGACAGGAGUAACCUCCGCAGGGACCUUCAUGCUGGGGGGAUGGGAGCCUCUUUGGGCAACACCUUUGGUCCCCCCCUGGGGUACGCGUUCACCCUCACCUCUGUAAAAGGUUGGAAGCACCCGCUGUGUCUCGCCUACCGCUGUGUCUGGCCUGUGGGCGGCACUUCCACAUGUCCCCCUGCAAGAGACCUCUCCUGGCCGUGUCCUCCCUCCCGAAACAUUAGGCAUCAGCCAUCAAAGACACUGCGAUGUCCCCUCUCUCAAUUAACAACAGUUGGGCUCAGAUGCCAGCAGCCCGGAUGCCUAACACAGUACCAAGCCAGUGGUAGGGGUCGCCUUCCAGUUUUGUUGAACGGAUGCAUGGGUGAAUGGCCAAACACCGAAUUGUAACCAAAUGCAAGUGGCAGAUGUUAAAACCCUCACCAAGAGUUUGUAUUUCCUCCUGAUUAACCUGUUAACAAUCGUUGUAUUGUAUCUUACGGACUCCUGUAUGACGUGUGUUGUUUGAAAACCGGGAUUCUCGUUUUGGGUGUCUUGCGACGAAACCUUAGCUGUCUGUGUUUUGUGUUAGAAAUCAGAGCCCGGCAGACCCGGGGGCCACUUAACCGACCGGGCCGCGGUAGGCGAGCCCCCUUUCCUCUCUGAC
rnacentral:lncRNA from 1 species